rnacentral:rRNA from 1 species
GGGAUGACGUCAAGUCCUCAUGSSCCUUAUGGSSUGGGCUACACACGUGCUACAAUGGCGGUGACAAUGGGAUGCAAGCCAGCGAUGGUGCGCCAAUCCCCAAAAGCCGUCUCAGUUCAGAUUGCACUCUGCAACUCGGGUGCAUGAAGGCGGAAUCGCUAGUAAUCGCGGAUCAGCAUGCCGCGGUGAAUACGUUCCCGGGCCUUG